AAAUGCGAUAAGUAGUGUGAAUUCCAGAAUUCAGUGAAUCAUCGAAUCUUUGAACGCACAUUGCGCCCCUCGGUAUUCCGUGGGGCAUGCCUGUUCGAGCGUCAUCUACACCCUCAAGCUCUGCUUGGUGUUGGGCGUCUGUCCCGCCUCCUUCGCGCGCGGACUCGCCCCAAAUCCAUUGGCGGCGGCCCUUGCCUCCCUCUCGCGCAGCACAUUGCGCUUCUCGAGGCGCGGCGGACCGCGUCCAGCAAGCAACCGUCACACCGUCUUUGACCUCGGAUCAGGUAGGGAUACCCGCUGAACUUAAGC
rnacentral:misc_RNA from 1 species